rnacentral:piRNA from 1 species
UGAGACAUAAGGUUGUCUUUCUCUCAGG